UACGUAGGGUGCAAGCGUUAAUCGGAAUUACUGGGCGUAAAGCGUGCGCAGGCGGUUUUGUAAGUCUGUCGUGAAAUCCCCGGGCUCAACCUGGGAAUUGCGAUGGAGACUGCAAGGCUAGAAUCUGGCAGAGGGGGGGUAGAAUUCCACGUGUAGCAGUGAAAUGCGUAGAGAUGUGGAGGAACACCGAUGGCGAAGGCAGCCCCCUGGGUCAAGAUUGACGCUCAUGCGCGAAAGCGUGGGGAGCAAACAGGG
rnacentral:rRNA from 1 species